UGUCUGCUCCCCCUCUAGAAUCCUUGGAACCUAGGUGUGAGUGCUGUUUCAGUGCAACACACCUAUUCAAGGAUUCAAAGAGAGUGAGCC
rnacentral:pre_miRNA from 1 species